rnacentral:rRNA from 1 species
GUCGAUCGAUGAACCACUUCGGUGGGGAUUAAGUGGCGAACGGGUGAGUAACACGUGGGCAAUCUGCCCUUCACUCUGGGACAAGCCCUGGAAACGGGGUCUAAUACCGGAUAUGACCAUCUUGGGCAUCCUUGAUGGUGUAAAGCUCCGGCGGUGAAGGAUGAGCCCGCGGCCUAUCAGCUUGUUGGUGAGGUAAUGGCUCACCAAGGCGACGACGGGUAGCCGGCCUGAGAGGGCGACCGGCCACACUGGGACUGAGACACGGCCCAGACUCCUACGGGAGGCAGCAGUGGGGAAUAUUGCACAAUGGGCGAAAGCCUGAUGCAGCGACGCCGCGUGAGGGAUGACGGCCUUCGGGUUGUAAACCUCUUUCAGCAGGGAAGAAGCGCAAGUGACGGUACCUGCAGAAGAAGCGCCGGCUAACUACGUGCCAGCAGCCGCGGUAAUACGUAGGGCGCAAGCGUUGUCCGGAAUUAUUGGGCGUAAAGAGCUCGUAGGCGGCUUGUCACGUCGAUUGUGAAAGCCCGAGGCUUAACCUCGGGUCUGCAGUCGAUACGGGCUAGCUAGAGUGUGGUAGGGGAGAUCGGAAUUCCUGGUGUAGCGGUGAAAUGCGCAGAUAUCAGGAGGAACACCGGUGGCGAAGGCGGAUCUCU